CUUACCUCGUAUGUAGUUUGGCAAAAGUCAACCAGUGGGGGGUCCCGUGGCCUGACGUGAGGUUGAGGGAGCAACUGAUGGGCAGCUUUGACCAAUCUCAUCAUGUCUUGAACCGCAUGAAGUUGCACAACCCAAAAUGAUGAAGCGGCUCGUGCGCUGAUUGUGUAAAAGAUCAGAAGUUGUCGGGUGACAAUCAUUCGCCUGUAAAAUUUCAGAUCCAAGAGCCAGCGGAGCACUUGAGGGUCACUCGCAGGCCAGUUUGCCAUCGAAAGACGACAGCGUGAUGGCGAAGGCCUG